GCCCAGCCCCAUGCCUUAAGCAAAGUGUGGGAUGGUCUCGGGAGGACACCCACAAAUGCCUACCUAGGUGCCUGGAAUUUCCCUUCGAGGAACGCAGGAGUUUUCUUUAUUUUCAUGCUUGGGAAGGCUCAUUAGGCCCCUAAGAGAGGGUCCCUUCCCCAUCUCAGGACUAAAAUGCAAUGAAGAUGUUGCUCAGAGGCAGCUGGAGAGGGAUGGGUCUGUGGAGGAUGCCCCGCAGAGUGAAGUCGAGAUGAUGCAGCCACCAGGGCCGGAGGGGGAGGGACAUUCCACUUUUUAAAUCAGCUUUCUGAAGCAUGAUCUCCAUAUAAUCACCUAGAAGCGUACAGCACAAUGAUCUUGACAGAUGCCAGCAUCCUUGGAACCACUGCCACCACCAACGUCUCAAACCAUUCCAUCAAACCCAGAACACUCCUGGUGCCCUGAAGCGUCUCCCUUCAGUGGCAGAACCAGCAGAGAUUCAGUGGUCACAAGGCUGGUCUGGAACUCCUGGGUGCAAGCGAUCCUUCCACCUCGGCCUCCCAAAGUGCUGGGAUUAGAGGCAUAAGCCACCGCGCCCAGCCAGGAAUGGAUUUUCUCACAGUUCUCGAUGGCGGAAGUCUGAGAUCAAGGUCUUGGCAGGGCUAGGUCUCUCUGAGGCCUUUCUCCCCAGCUUAUAGGUCGCCGCCUCCUCUCUCUGUCUUUCCUUGUCUUCCUUGUGUCCACAGUUGUGUCCAAAUUCCCCUUUCUCAUAAGGACGUCAGUCAUGUUGGAUUAGGGCCCUCCCUCCUGACCUUGUUUUAGCUUAAUCUCUGCAACUUAACCCUUAACCUCAGUAAAGAUCCUAUUUCCAAAUGUGUUCACAUUCUGAGGUCCUGAGGAUUAGGACUUUGAAAGGAUUAAAACAGGCUCUUCUGGCAUAUUGACAAUUUCAGCUAAAGACUCUUGAGAAACAGCAGGUGCAAAAAGAUCACAGUGACCUCCAUGCUGUACCUUGAGAUGAAAUUCCAAUGCGAAAGAUGCCCUCUCCACCCUAGAAGGGAAAGCAACAUCCUUAUCUUUGGGAGUGAAAAGUCCAAACUGAGAGCAUACUGUGAGUACCUCAUUAGCAUCAUUCCAUUCUCUGAGCUUCCCCGCAGACUUCAGUUGCUUCUUCACAGCUCUGCUCUUUGUCCCGUCCAAUCUCUGAGUAACUAACUCACUGCUUCUGCAGGUCUUCAUUUCUGCAGGAGGGCUCCCAUGCUACAUAAAUCCUGCAUUACACUUUUCUCCUGUUAGUCUAUGUUAUGUCCAUUUAAUUCUCAGGCCCAGCCGGGACCCUAAGAGGACAGAGGUGGAGUUUUUCCACCCCUACAACUUUACCCAAUCACAAUUCAAUCCUAACAGUGCCUUUCUCUGGAGGGGCUCUGCCAGCAUGAAUUCCUUUACGGGUGGAAGCCUCACAGUCCAGUCUACCAGUGAGGUCCACAUGGGAUUGGCUGGAGGGAGCUACGAAGUCAAGCGGCGUCAGGUACAGAGAAACAAAUCCCACAUCCAAGGGCCAGGAGGCGGUAGAGCAAACCACGCACAGCCGGGUGACUUAAGGGCAAGGAAGUCUUCCUGCAGGAGGUGAAUUUGGCACAAGGGAUACGUUUUUAGGCCCUGAGUGGAGGAUCUGGGUUUCAAACUGGACUUUUGAAAAACACACUCUUAUUGUAGAAG
rnacentral:lncRNA from 1 species